rnacentral:tRNA from 1 species
GGGCCCGUAGCUCAGGGGUAGAGCGCUCGCUUUGCAUGCGAGAAAUCUAGGGUUCAAAUCCCUACGGGUCCA